GAUUUCCCAGUGUGAUUGGCUGCAUAGAUGCACACACAUCCCCAUCACAGCUCCCUCACAUCAUGAACAGGAAGUCCAUUCACAGCAUAAAUGUGCAGGUAGGCUACAGGUAGACUGACUACUGUUUCUAAAUGUUAAAGACUGCAUCAUAGUUCAACAUCUGUCAUUCUCUGCACUGUCCAGAUCAUAUGUGAUGCUGCAUACAUCAUUUCUAAUGUGGAGGCCACGUGGUCUGGGUCUGUUCAUGACUCCAGGAUUUAUGGAGAGUCUAACCUGAGCAACAGACUGCAGCAUGGAGAGUUUGAUGGCCUUCUGCUGGGUGACAGGGGUUACCAUGACAACCCAGGCUGAUGACCUCAUACCCUGACCCUGAACCAGGCCCCCAACAGAACUUCAACCGGACUCACUGCAGGACCAGAGCCCGGGUGGAGAUGACCAUAGGCCUGCUGAAAGCCCGUUUCCAGAGCCUACGUCUCCUCAGGGUGACCCCUGAGAGGGCCUGUGAUAUUACUGUGGCAUGUGUUGUUCUUCAUAAUAUUACCACUAUCAGAGGAGAGCAACACCCUGCCCUACAAACUGAAGACCCAGAUGAUGAGCCCAUCCACCUGCAGCUAUCCAGGACAGCAGAGCAAUCAGAGACACCGUAUGCAAUAAUCACUUUAGAGUUUAAGUCUCCAUCAUCACCACCACAGCAAAUAAAGACAUGAUACACAUUUCAUUUGCUCUUCUUUAUUUCCUACAAAUAAAAGAUAGUUCAGUUCA